AAGACUUAUUAAUUUGAACAAGAGAAGAAUACCCUUAAAAGAUGAGAUCAAGAGUUAUGUUCUCAGAAGCAUAAAGCUGAAGCUAGACAGAGGAACAUGAGCUCGAGUAGAAGAAGCCAUUUGCUCAAACAAGGGCUGACCUUGAGCUUGAUCAAAUGAUGAAAGAAAGAGUAAGAUGGGGAGAUCCAAUGGCUCAUUUGGUCAAAGAAAAAGCGGCACGAGACAACUCUUGUGGAUCUUCGAGACGACGAGAAGAUGAAAAAAUCUGGGUUCAUUAUACCACAAACUGUGCCUAAACAUAGUUGGUUGACGAGAGGACUAGAAGCUGGGACAAACCGGUAUUGAAUUAAACCGGGUAGACACUGGUUCAAGCAAUAACUAUAUGUUAAAACUGUCGCCGCUAAACUUGAAAAAUAGAGAGAAUCGAUGGCUUUUUGUGACAGUUUAUUUUGUGUUCAUCAUUUUUUGUAGCUUUGAGAAUGAAUCAUCUUGGGUAACUUUCUCCGUCUGGUUCAUACCCUUGCGGGAAAUGGAGUAACAUUUAAGGUUUUCAACACCAACGGUGGUAAUUUCUGUGGCAAUGGCUAUAACUGUUAGAUGAUGCUCCAGCCUGUGAGUUUGGAGGAUCAAUAUAAAGGUGUGAAGAAGAACCAGCGGUUAUCUAAAAAUGUCUACGAUGCUUCUGGCCAAGCUCCAACGCACUAGAGGAAGAGAUUGGACAGUGAGCAUGACGACAAUACGUGACGGUGUGUAUUUUACAAAAACCCGUGAUCUGAGUAGCAGAAUUGAGAAAGAAAGAUUGUAACAAACCUCAAUAUGAUGAGGUGGAAACCAAUUAAGAAAAAUACCAUUUGUGUUUGAUCAUGUUUGAUCUUUUCAUCAUUUCAUGAAUAAAUAUGUUCGGUCA